UGGCUCAGUGGUAGAGUGCUUGCCUUGCAUGCAUGAGGCCCUGGGUUCAAUUCCACAG
rnacentral:tRNA from 1 species